GAUGAACGCUGGCGGCGUGCUUAACACAUGCAAGUCGAACGAAGCACUUUAUUUGAUUUCCUUCGGGACUGAUUAUUUUGUGACUGAGUGGCGGACGGGUGAGUAACGCGUGGGUAACCUGCCUUGUACAGGGGGAUAACAGUUGGAAACGGCUGCUAAUACCGCAUAAGCGCACAGCAUCGCAUGAUGCAGUGUGAAAAACUCCGGUGGUAUAAGAUGGACCCGCGUUGGAUUAGCUAGUUGGUGAGGUAACGGCCCACCAAGGCGACGAUCCAUAGCCGACCUGAGAGGGUGACCGGCCACAUUGGGACUGAGACACGGCCCAAACUCCUACGGGAGGCAGCAGUGGGGAAUAUUGCACAAUGGGCGAAAGCCUGAUGCAGCGACGCCGCGUGAGCGAAGAAGUAUUUCGGUAUGUAAAGCUCUAUCAGCAGGGAA
rnacentral:rRNA from 1 species